GAAUAUGGGAUCUUGAAAAACACGAAAACAUCCUAAGAAAUACCAGGAAGCAGUCCCACAGUGAAACACAAAUGAAACUCAAGGUGACUGCCUAAAAUAAAGUAAGAGUAUUUCAGAAUUUCCAGAGCAUUUUCUCCAUAACUUAUUUAAUUCUCAGAACAAUGCCAAGAGGCAAAUGGGGAAGUUAUAACUAUUUUACAGG